UUCAUCAUUGUUAAAUUCUACUUACAUCAAAAUAUCUUGGAAGUGACAUCUUUUCUUAAAGAAUAAUUGGCAAAGUCGUGUUAUGGUGGACUGUAGUAAUUGGAAUAUGUGUUUGUUAAAAUAUGUCACAUAUUUAUUAAAAAUGAUAAAAAUCCAAAAAAUCCAACAAAGACCGAACCGACAAAAAACCGACUUAGUUGGCUUGGUUUGGUUUGGUUCUAACAUAUGAAAAAUCGACUUAAUGGUUUUGGUUUUCUUUUAGAGGAUAAUCUAUCAAACCAAACCAUGAACACCCUUAGGCUGCAUUUGUUUUCAUUAAGAUUAAGACGACUUAAUCUGAAUGAUAAAGAUGUUCUUUCUAGUUCUGAACACUUUGAAUGAUUAAGACCGUUUGUUUUUCAACAUCUGAAUGUGCAUAAUUAUUUUUCAAAAUUAAUAAACAUAAUCAAAAAGAAAAAAGAUACGGUCUCCACUUUAAACCCUAGCAUCCAACACAGGCAUAUAGAAAGUUCCCUAAUGUUGUAGCCCUUCUUUCCACUUCAUGGUUGUUUUCCAUGGAACUAUCUUUAGUGAUAUAUCGAAAGUGAUUUUUCUAUGUUGCCUUUCGAUUAUACGUAUUUUUCGUCCAAUGAAGGUGUUAUUGGGAAGAAGAAACAGUUGACAAUGAAAGUUGAUAUAAGGAACUGAAAAAAAUGGUUGUGGCCAUAUUUUUGAUUUCGAAUACAAAAACUGUUGUGUCAUCUGUGUUAAAGAUCAGAUAUAGGUUAAUUGUUCUCAUUGAUCCGACGACAAAUGAUAGAAGUAAAUUGAAAAUGCAUGUUAGGAAAUCCUUUGCAAUGAAUGAUGUGCUUAUGCAGGGAGAUGAGUUGGAGAAGAAAGAAACUUCUAUAAUAAUAAAAAUUUAAUGUUAAAAGAAAAUAAAAGAGCAAGGUUCUGAAUGAUUUUUGACUCGGUUUUAGAUCUGACUGAAUCAGAUGUAUUAAGAUGCAUUAAGUGGCUAGAUCUUACAACAAACAAAUACACUUAAUGGGCUGAAAUCAGAGUGAGUCAGAUUCAUACCUCCAAUAACUGCAAAGAAAUGAGGCCUUAGAUAGAAGACUAAGAAACAUAUAUAGCAGGAUUCAUAGUAAAGAACCCAUAUGACUGUUCUGUGGUUCAUGCUAAAGAACCCAUAUGACUGUUCU
rnacentral:lncRNA from 1 species